rnacentral:tRNA from 1 species
UCCCUGAUAGCUCAGUUGGUAAAGAAUCCGCCUGCAAUGCAGGAGACCCAGGUUCGAUUCCUGAGUUGGGAA